rnacentral:rRNA from 1 species
AAAUCCCGAAAAAAUAUCUUGGGAAUACCAAAAGCGANGGCAAUCNUUCUGGNAACAUUACUGACGCUGAGGCGCGAAAGCGUGGGGAGCAAACAGGAUUAGAUACCCUGGUAGCCCACGCCCUAAACGAUGAAUGUUAGUCGUCGGGUAGCUAGUCUAUUCGGUGAUGCAGCUAACGCAUUAAACAUUCCGCCUGGGGAGUACGGUCGCAAGAUUAAAACUCAAAGGAAUAGACGGGGACCCGCACAAGUGGUGGAGCAUGUGGUUUAAUUCGAAGAUACGCGAAGAACCUUACCUAGCCUUGACAUAUUUAAGAACACUUUAGAGAUAGAGUGGUGCCUUCGGGAGCUUUUAUACAGGUGCUGCACGGCUGUCGUCAGCUCGUGUCGUGAGAUGUUGGGUUAAGUCCCGCAACGAGCGCAACCCUCGUCACUAGUUACUAACGGUUCGGCCGAGGACUCUAGUGAGACUGCCUUCGCAAGGAGGAGGAAGGUGAGGACGACGUCAAGUCAUCAUGGCCCUUACGGCUAGGGCAACACACGUGCUACAAUGGCCAGGACAAUGAGACGCAAUACCGCGAGGUGGAGCAAAUCUAUAAACCUGGUCUCAGUUCGGAUUGUAGUCUGCAACUCGACUACAUGAAGCUGGAAUCACUAGUAAUCGUAGAUCAGCUAUGCUACGGUGAAUACGUUCCCGGGUCUUGUACUCACCGCCCGUCACACCAUGGGAGUUGAUUUCACCCGAAGCGGGGAAGCUAAACUGGCUACCCUCCACGGUGGAAUCAGCGACUGGGGUGAAGUCGUAACAAGGUAACCUUAAUUAAAA